UCCGUAGAUUUUGGUUUCCAGAAGCCACC
rnacentral:sRNA from 1 species